AUCCAGCUGAUGAGUUAUAAAUAGGACGAAAUACGCAUUCUGGAU
rnacentral:hammerhead_ribozyme from 1 species